AUGCUGGGCGCGCAUCCUCGUCGUCGCAUCUGGGGCGAGGACCUGCUUCAGAUGCACCAUGUCCGGGACAGGGCUCCGUUGGGCUGGCACUGGGAGGUGCUACCUUCCGGGGCGCGCAGGUUGGUGAGGAACCGGGCGCCCGCCGUCGACCAGAAUCUUCUUUGGUGGCGUUUGCGUGGGCCACUUUCGGUGCGGAGGCAGCCGACCCCGCCGGAGGUGGUACGUCGCCGUGUCAGGGAGGAGGACGAGCACGUCCAUCACUACAUGGUUGCGUUGGACAACAGGUUCUGCAAUACCUGGCAGGUUCUUCAGGGAUCUCACCCGAACUAUGAUCCUGUGAGGUUUCCUUUUCUUUGGGUGUCCACCGCCCGCGCCUCAGGAACUGCGAGUGAUGUUAUAUAUAUAUGA
rnacentral:rRNA from 1 species